CCAUGGAUGGGUCUGCGGCCUAUCAGGUAGUAGUGGGUGUAAUGUACCUACUAGCCGACAACGGGUACGGGUUGUGAGAGCAAGAGCCCGGAGAUGGAUUCUGAGACAUGAAUCCAGGCCCUACGGGGCGCAGCAGGCGCGAAAACUUUACAAUGCGGGAAACCGUGAUAAGGGGACACCGAGUGUCAGCAUCAUAUGCUGGCUGUCCAGGUGUGUAAAAUACACCUGUUAGCAAGGGCCGGGCAAGACCGGUGCCAGCCGCCGCGGUAACACCGGCGGCCCGAGUGGUGAUCGUGAUUAUUGGGUCUAAAGGGUCCGUAGCCGGUUUGGUCAGUCCUCCGGGAAAUCUGAUAGCUCAACUAUUAGGCUAUCGGGGGAUACUACCAGACUUGGAACCGGGAGAGGUAAGAGGUACUACAGGGGUAGGAGUGAAAUCUUGUAAUCCCUGUGGGACCACCUGUGGCGAAGGCGUCUUACCAGAACGGGUUCGACGGUGAGGGACGAAAGCUGGGGGCACGAACCGGAUUAGAUACCCGGGUAGUCCCAGCCGUAAACGAUGCUCGCUAGGUGUCAGGCAUGGCGCGACCGUGUCUGGUGCCGCAGGGAAGCCGUGAAGCGAGCCACCUGGGAAGUACGGCCGCAAGGCUGAA
rnacentral:rRNA from 1 species